AGAAUCAACGCUGGCGGCGUGCCUAACACAUGCAAGUCGAACGAGAAAGUGGAGCAAUCCAUGAGUAAAGUGGCGCACGGGUGAGUAACACGUGACUAACCUACCCUUGAGUGGGGAAUAACUGAGGGAAACCUUGGCUAAUACCGCAUAAUACCUACGGGUCAAAGGAGCAAUUCGCUUAAGGAGGGGGUCGCGGCCGAUUAGUUAGUUGGCGGGGUAAUGGCCCACCAAGACUGUGAUCGGUA
rnacentral:rRNA from 1 species